rnacentral:rRNA from 1 species
GAUGAACGCUAGCUACAGGCUUAACACAUGCAAGUCGAGGGGGAACGAUAGAGAAAGCUUGCUUUUUCUAGGCGUCGACCGGCGCACGGGUGAGUAACGCGUAUCCAACCUGCCCAUCACUUGGGGAUAACCUUGCGAAAGUAAGACUAAUACCCAAUGACGUCUCUAGAAGACAUCUGAAGGAGAUUAAAGAUUUAUCGGUGAUGGAUGGGGAUGCGUCUGAUUAGCUUGUUGGCGGGGUAACGGCCCACCAAGGCGACGAUCAGUAGGGGUUCUGAGAGGAAGGCCCCCCCACAUUGGAACUGAGACACGGUCCAAACUCCUACGGGAGCAGCAGUGAGGAAUAUUGGUCAAUGGACGAGAGUCUGAACCAGCCAAGUAGCGUGCAGGAUGACGGCCCUAUGGGUUGUAAACUGCUUUUAUAAGGGAUAAAGUGAGUCUCGUGAGACUUUUUGCAUGUACCUUAUGAAUAAGGACCGGNUAAUUCCGUGCCAGCAGCCG